GAUGAACGCUGGCGGCGUGCCUAAUACAUGCAAGUCGAGCGAACAGACGAGGAGCUUGCUCCUCUGACGUUAGGGGCGGACGGGUGAGUAACACGUGGAUAACCUACCUAUAAGACUGGGAUAACUUCGGGAAACCGGAGCUAAUACCGGAUAAUAUAUUGAACCGCAUGGUUCAAUAGUGAAAGACGGUUUUGCUGUCACUUAUAGAUGGAUCCGCGCCGCAUUAGCUAGUUGGUAAGGUAACGGCUUACCAAGGCAACGAUGCGUAGCCGACCUGAGAGGGUGAUCGGCCACACUGGAACUGAGACACGGUCCAGACUCCUACGGGAGGCAGCAGUAGGGAAUCUUCCGCAAAGGGCGAAAGCCUGACGGAGCAACGCCGCGUGAGUGAUGAAGGUCUUCGGAUCGUAAAACUCUGUUAUUAGGGAAGAACAAAUGUGUAAGUAACUAUGCACGUCUUGACGGUACCUAAUCAGAAAGCGACGGCUAACUACGUG
rnacentral:rRNA from 1 species